GGUAAGUUGGCUCAGUGGUAGAGUGCUUGCCUUGCAUGCAUGAGGCCCUGGGUUCGAUUCCUCAGCACCA
rnacentral:tRNA from 1 species